CUUUUUUUAAUGCUUAAUGAUCGUUUAUAAAACUGCUUGCCAUUGUAUUUAGGGAGCUGCAAAUAGCUAAGUUGUAGGCUAUCCAUAUUCAUGCGGUAGC